GCUUGUCUCAAAGAUUAAGCCAUGCAUGUCUAAGUAUAAACGAUUUUAUACGUGAAACUGCGAAUGGCUCAUUAUAUCAGUUAUAGUUUAUUUGAUGGUCCUUACUACUUGGAUAACCGUAGUAAUUCUAGAGCUAAUACAUGCAUCAAGCCCUGACUUCGGAAGGGGUGUAUUUAUUAGAUGGAAACCAAUGCGGGGCAACCCGGAAAAUGGUGAUUCAUAAUAACUUUCGGAUCGUUUACGAUGCAUCAUUCAAGUUUCUGACCUAUCAGCUUCCGACGGUAGGGUAUUGGCCUACCGUGGCAAUGACGGGUAACGGAGAAUUAGGGUUCGAUUCCGGAGAGGGAGCCUGAGAAACGGCUACCACAUCUAAGGAAGGCAGCAGG
rnacentral:rRNA from 1 species